rnacentral:rRNA from 1 species
UACGGAGGGUGCGAGCGUUGUCCGGAAUCACUGGGCGUAAAGCGUGCGCAGGCGGUCUGUUAAGACCGAUGUGAAAUCCCCGGGCUUAACCUGGGAACUGCAUUGGUGACCGGCAGGCUUUGAGUGUGGCAGAGGGAGGUAGAAUUCCACGUGUAGCAGUGAAAUGCGUAGAGAUGUGGAGGAAUACCGAUGGCGAAGGCAGCCUCCUGGGCCAACACUGACGCUCAUGCACGAAAGCGUGGGGAGCAAACAGG